ACAACUUUGUCAUUCAUUCAAUCUUAUCAUUUAUUCGCUUUUUCUCUCUCCUCUCAAAAACUAUGCAACUCUGAAUUUUUCAGAUCUACGUUAUUUAGAUCUGAAUCAUGAAUUUCUUUCAAUUGAUUCGAACAGAUCGUUCGACGAUCUACGUUUCGAGUAUGAUUUCUUCGUGUUCCGUCAAUGGAUGAUAUCUCAAAUCCGAUUCACACUGUUAUGGCGGUGAUGAUGCUGGGUUUGUUGCGUUCUUCAAUUUCUGGAGGCGAAAUACUCUAGAUCGUACUCAAUCAGAAGCAGAUUAUUCAUCGGAGAUGAUUGAUAUACUUGAAUGAUGAAUUUUCACGGCUAAGCUGAACGUUAUGAAACCCGUGCUGAUGGUGAUUUCACACACGGUCGAGGUUCUGUGAAGCUAAAGUGAAACCGUAAAUUAUAUGUGGAUUUUCAACUGCUCGUUGCUGCUCUGCUGUAAUGGUGGUUUGUAUGUAUUGCCAGUAUGAUGGUAUUGGAUUUAUGAUGUUGAUUAGAUUUGAAUCUGGUAGGAUUUAUUUCUGUGUGAGGAUGAAAAAAAAUUGUGAGUGAAAAUAAUCCGACCUUUGCCAUGUUGGGUGCGCUCGCUUGGCAGGUCAACCCUUAAUAAAAAAAGAAACAUUUUUGUGGUUUGUUGGGGAAGAUGGCACGGUGUUUUGGCCGGCUCUUCCCCACUGUGUGCUUGUGUCUGUCUCUCUUCUCUCCUUUUUUCUGUUUCCUUCUCCUUCGAUUGAAAUCGUAGUUAUGCAUCGAUUGACAGCCCCGAUCAUAUCCGUCUCAUCCUUUGGAGCGUUCGGUUAACAGGUAUAUUUUCUUGGCUAAUACUCAGUUGAAUAUUCCAUUAACUAUCAAUUUCGGUCUUCAUUUAUCAUGAGUCUACUUGGUUUAGGUUUGGGGAUUGAAAUUAUUAUGUCGCUAAACUUGAAUUAUCAUACAUGAAAUAAUAACGUAGUUCUGUCUUAAUUAGAAGAAAUAUCAUUAAUCAGUAGUUAACGGUCAUUCAUUAGGGAAUCAAUGAUUAAAGCAUACCGGUUAGUCAAUUUGUAAUUUAAAUUAAUUUGAUUACACCUUUAAAAUUAUUGCAUCAUUCCAUUGUUCAAUAGUUUUAUAGUUUUAUUACCAUCGAUGACCGUCAACUAUCUUGGCCAAUUUAAAUUGACCACAUAUUAUCGAAUUCCAUUUUAUUAAUCAGUGCUAGUCCAAAUCAUUAUCAAUUUAUUCAUCAACUGUCUGAACUGAACUGCCCUACUAGACUAACUUGUCUCAAUUAUUUUUGCCAUUGCUCUAGUUUUAGCUUCUUUUUUUUCUUGCAAUUUCUAUAUUUUUCAAUUCAUUUUAUUACUAUAAAAAAGAUUUAUUGCAUUUGCAAAUAUUAAAGUCUAUUAAUUUUCAACAAUAUCCCAUGGUGACAUUGAUGAUGUUAUCAAUGAUCUCCCUAGUAGGAUAUCAGUUGUAAAGUAAUUGUGUAUAGGUUGUGCUAGGUGUUACUAGGAAUUCUAUGUACUUGUAUAAAUUAUGGGUGUUGCAAGCUUUUGUAUAUGGGUAUUGUUCGACGAUAUGCCAUUGUUAGUGAUGCUGAGGACUAGGGAUCGGAGUGGAUGCUGGAGCUGAAGACCCGAAGUUAAAACCUUGAAUGCGCAAGGUAUUGAUUUUGGUUGAUGCCGGGGUUCCUUUGUUUCAGUCGAACAAUUUUAGUCUCACACCUUUGAUAUGUGCCGGCCCUUUUUUGUGGUUGAUUUGUUCUCUUUCUAGUCCGUACAUCAGAUAUAUGUUAGAUACGAUAUGGUUCUUCAAGUUGCUGUACCGGUGUAUUUGCUCGAGUGUUUCAGGUUGUUUUGUUCAUGCGGAUGCUGCUGUUGCCUUGAUUGGAAAAGGAAAGGCAAAUUAUGUGUUACACAGGCGCUUAAUCGCCGCCUUUGGUUUUCUAAAUAUGAAUUGAAGCAAAUUUUCAAGGAACGUCAAGUGGAUAAGUUCUCUUCUCUUGUGAAAUGUUGUUUAUAUUAAGCACUUUUGUCAAUUUUAGUUCUGUAAAUUUAUUGCAGUAAUAAUUUCGUAGUUGAUGGCCAUUUACUUAGAUUGGUCAGAGGCCUGUUGGAGACGGAUAUGAGUUUAAUCUUCGAGUUAAAUUAGUGCAGUACUUUUAUUCAUUCUUUCAUUUC